rnacentral:rRNA from 1 species
UAGGGAAUCUUCCGCAAUGGGCGAAAGCCUGACGGAGCAACGCCGCGUGAGUGAUGAAGGUCUUCGGAUCGUAAAACUCUGUUAUUAGGGAAGAACAAAUGUGUAAGUAACUAUGCACGUCUUGACGGUACCUAAUCAGAAAGCCACGGCUAACUACGUGCCAGCAGCCGCGGUAAUACGUAGGUGGCAAGCGUUAUCCGGAAUUAUUGGGCGUAAAGCGCGCGUAGGCGGUUUUUUAAGUCUGAUGUGAAAGCCCCCGGCUCAACCGUGGAGGGUCAUUAGAAACUGGAAAACUUGAGUGCAGAAGAGGAAAGUGGAAUUCCAUGUGUAGCGGUGAAAUGCGCAGAGAUAUGGAGGAACACCAGUGGCGAAGGCGACUUUCUGGUCUGUAACUGACGCUGAUGUGCGAAAGCGUGUGGAUCAAACAGG